AUUGAACGCUGGCGGCAGGCCUAACACAUGCAAGUCGAACGAGUGGCGGACGGGUGAGUAAUGUCUGGGAAACUGCCCGAUGGAGGGGGAUAACUACUGGAAACGGUAGCUAAUACCGCAUACUAUCGGAUGUGCCCAGAUGGGAUUAGCUAGUAGGUGGGGUAACGGCUCACCUAGGCGACGACCGCUAGCUGGUCUGAGAGGAUGACCCGCCACACUGGAACGGGGACACGGUCCAGACUCCUACGGGAGGGAGCAGUGGGGAAUAUGGCACAAUGGGCGCAAGUCUGAUGCAGCCAUGCCGCGUGUAUGAAGGAGGCCUUCGGGUUGUAAAGUACGUUCAGCGAGGAGGCGUUACUCGCAGAAGAAGCACCGGCUAACUCCGUGCCAGCAGCCGCGGUAAUUC
rnacentral:rRNA from 1 species